rnacentral:misc_RNA from 1 species
CCGAGUUUACAACUCAUCAACCCUGUGAACAUACCUAACUGUUGCCUUCGGCGGAUCAGACGGCCCGGUAACAACGGGCCGGCCCGCCAGAGGACCCCUAAACUCUGUUUUAUAUAUGUACUUUCUGAGUAAACAUCAAAUAAAUUC